UACGGGGGGGUAAGCGUUGUUCGGAAUUACUGGGCGUAAAGGGCUCGUAGGCGGCCCACUAAGUCAUACGUGAAAUCCCUCAGCUUAACUGGGGAACUGCGUGUGAUACUGGAUGGCUUGGAUUUGGGAGAGGGAUGCGGAAUUCCAGGUGUAGCGGUGAAAUGCGUAGAUAUCUGGAGGAACACCGGUGGCGAAGGCGGCAUCCUGGACCAAUAUUGACGCUGAGGAGCGAAAGCCAGGGGAGCAAACGGG
rnacentral:rRNA from 1 species